rnacentral:rRNA from 1 species
UGAUGUCAAGUCAGCAUGGCCUUUAUUGUCCUGGGCGUACACACACGCUACAAUGGUCAGCACAAUGGGUCGCUAAGCCGCAAGGUGGAGCCAAUCCUCAAAGUUGGCCUCAGUUCAGAUUGUAGGCUGCAACUCGCCUGCAUGAAGAUGGAGUUGCUAGUAAACGCAGGUCAGCUAUACUGCGUUGAAUACGUUCCCGGGGCUU